rnacentral:ncRNA from 2 species
CGGUCUCAUCGCGCCGAUUUGAGGAUCAGCUUGCGGGCGCGUUACAAGUACGGCUAAAGCGGCCAGGUUCACGCCCGA